GACGAACGCUGGCGGCGUGCUUAACACAUGCAAGUCGAGCGGGAUCCAACCGGUGGCAACACCGGGGAAGAUCUAGCGGCGAACGGGUGAGUAACACGUGAGCAACCUGCCCCGAAGACUGGGAUAACACCGGGAAACCGGUGCUAAUACCGGAUGUCGUCAUUAGGCCGCAUGACCUGAUGAUGAAAGGAUUCAUCGCUUCGGGAGGGGCUCGCGGGCUAUCAGCUUGNGGUGGGGUAACGGCCUACCAAGGCGACGACGGCUAGCUGGUCUGAGAGGACGACCAGCCACACUGGGACUGAGACACGGCCCAGACUCCUACGGGAGGCAGCAGUGGGGAAUCCUGCGCAAUGGGCGAAAGCCUGACGCAGCAACGCCGCGUGGGGGAUGAAUGCCUUCGGGUU
rnacentral:rRNA from 1 species